rnacentral:misc_RNA from 1 species
GAUGAAGAACGCAGCGAAAUGCGAUACGUAAUGUGAAUUGCAGAAUUCAGUGAAUCAUCGAGUCUUUGAACGCACAUUGCGCCCCCUGGUAUUCCGGGGGGCAUGCCUGUCCGAGCGUCAUUGCUGCCCUCAAGCACGGCUUGUGUGUUGGGCCUCCGUCCUCCUCCCGGGGGACGGGCUCGAAAGGCAGCGGCGGCACCGCGUCCGGUCCUCGAGCGUAUGGGGCUUCGUCACCCGCUCUUGUAGGCCCGGCCGGCGCUUGCCGACACAUCAAUCUUUUUUCCAGGUUGACCUCGGAUCAGGUAGGGAUACCCGCUGAACUUAAGCAUAUCAAUAAGCGGAGGA